rnacentral:misc_RNA from 1 species
UAUAUAUAGGGGUCAUCCUUAAUCAUGAUGACCCCUCAUCCUGAUUAAGGGGAACCCCCAUCCAGAGCCCAUACUAAGAUGGAGAACCCCGUGUACACUCAUCGUGAGCUCAUACUAAGAUGGAGCUUGCUGAGCCCAUAGUAAGAUGGAGUGUACAGACAGUCGAUAAGGAGCCACGAGCCCAUACUAAGAUGGAGUGUACAGUCGAAAAGGAGCCACGAGCCCAUACUAAGAUGGAGAACCCCGUGUACAGUACUCAUUGAGCCCAUACUAAAAUGGUCAUCCCGAGAUGAGCGUGUACAGUUGAUACUGAUACCGAGUACAGUUCAUACCGUCAUCCCGAGAUGAGCCAAAUACCAGGAUGGAGAACCCAGUGUACAGUUGAUACCGAUACCGAGUACAGUUCCAUCCCGAGAUAACCAGUAUACUAAUGCAGAACCCCGUGUAACCCCGUGUACAGGUAACCAUACUAAAAUGGAGAACCCCCUGUACAGUCGAUACGGAGUACAGUUCAUACCGUCAUCCCGAGAUGAACCCAUACUAAGAUGGAGAACCCCAUGUACAGUUGAGAUAACCAGUAUAACUGCAGUGUACUGUUGUACAAUUAGGGAAGACACACUACACUAGUAUUCUUCCCCUUCUUUAUGUUUGUACAAUUAGGGAAGGCACAUGGCGGCUCUAUUACAAAGCGUAAAGAUACGUAGUCUUCCCUAAUUGUACAAACAUGGAAGAAUUCAGUACACUACAGUAACGCUAGGAGACCGAGUUAACAAAGUACACCGUCCGCCAAACUUUAGCAUAUAUGGGGAGCUAGUGAUUCGAAGAAGGGGAGAGGAUGGGCUGAAAAUAAUAGGAAGAAAUUGUGGACAGCUCCGUUUGGUAUUGGUGUAUAAAUGAUAUUGCAAUUGGUUUGAAAGUUUAUAUUUCGGUAGCAAGUAUAGAUGGAGUUCUUGAUGGAAAAGAGGUGGUGUGUAACGAUGUUUUCCCGGUAUUUUGUUGGUGGUGUAAAUACUGUGUGCUAAAUCAAAGUAUAUUGCGACCAACUUUCACAUGAAAUACAUUUGUUGAUUAAGGAAACAAUAAUUGGAUGGAAUGAGUUCUGUAAUAAUUUUAUUAAUUCAUGAUUGUAGAGCGAGAUUGUAUUGGAAAUUGAUAAUUGUUGAAAAUAAUAGAAUGUAUUUUGGUUUUACAUUUAAC